rnacentral:lncRNA from 1 species
ACAACAUGAAAGAAUAUGAUGAAUCCAUCCCUUGUUUGUGCAUCAGGGAUCCACUGUGAAAAAAUCUUGUAAUCCAAGGAAGUAUUUGAAGCCCAGGGGAUUGUGGUGAAAAAGACAAACACUGCCCCAUCUGUCCUGAAACAGACAUUUCAGAGGAGGGAAAUGGAUGAUAAACAGGUAAGU